ensembl:lncRNA
AGGUAGUCAACAUGAAGUUGUUGAUUGGAAUCCAGGAUUACAUCAGACCUUGUUACUGGAUAACUAUGUGAGUGGAGGUUAUGGAGGUUGCUCCAAGAGAAACUGGACUGACACCACCAAACUCAUUAGACUUGGGUCCUUGAACACUGUUUUUGUAUUAAAGAGAAAAGAAACCUAGCAAGGGUGAAUGUUAACGAGCAGCUUUGCUGGCAAACCUCUUACCUUGAAUGGCUAAAGGAGAAAAGGAGAUGCUGGAGUAGAGAAGUAAGGAGAUCUGCCAGCACGGAUGGGAUGUGUUCCCAGUCUUCGGAUUGCAAUUCAAGUGGGCCUGUACUGAGCCUGACUGAGCCAAGGAUGUUGCAAUUCACUCUUCAGAUCCUUGUAGAGCUCUGAAUUUAAACACAUCCAACAAGCAAAAGGAUUCACUUUUUUCAUUUAUAAAGCAGAGAAAGUCUACACAACGAGUUUGGUAUUAUGCGGGGGAGUCUGCAACUGAACUUGGACAUCUCAGGUUUUACCUUCAUGGUGUUCUCUGCAGAAACUCCUGGCCAAUGUACAGCCACGUGGCUGAAAUAGCUUUCACGUUAAGCAGCUUGGUUGUUUUGAGUCAUCUUUUUCUGAUUUACAAAAGAAGUGAACAAAAAUGUCUGGAUCUCUGCUUUACUGAACACCUCAUCCUUGGGAAUAAUGCAUCUUUCCCAAAGGAUGAGGCAAUAGAUGACCCCCAUAGGUCCAAAGCAUUUAGGUAAGGGGAACAGUGCCCCUGGAAAUGAAAUGAAAUGCUUUACCAAACUAAACGGGCACCAGGGAAUUGUUUAUUGUAUUAUUUACAGCAAAUAAAUUGUAUUCUUCCUAGCAUACAAUUGUUAUGUGUCUUAGAUGUAUAGCUCUUAAAAUGGAAUCUUUUGUUCUUAAGAUGAAGGCAUGCUUAAAUGUUUUAUCUAAAAUAUUUAUAACUUCUACGUCUGUUCAGAAGGAGCUGUUGUCUGACAGAUUAAAAAAAAAU